UAAAAAGGUAAGCUAAUUAAGCUAAUGGGUUCAUACCCCAUGAAUAAAGGUUCUAACCCUUUUCUUUUUAA
rnacentral:tRNA from 1 species